AUGGGUGUAGAUGGCUUAAUGGGCUCUGCUUGUGAGCAGGAUGGCACUGAAAAAGUCUUCACCCAACUGGCAUAUCAUGGGAAUGGGAGGAGUGCGGAUGGAGAUCUGGAUUCUAGAAGGCUUGUGCAAGUGAUUGGUUGCCUUUCGUUCUGUCCUCACAUCUUAGUGCCUCCUCUUCUUCCUCCUUGUGCACCCAGAAACACCCUCCAGAGCUGGCCCCAGCACUCCAUAGAUGUCACCAUGGGGAUGGAUAAGGAUGCAGCCAGCUGGUCUCUGCUUCAGGAUGGCCCAUUCAGGAUAGACAUGGAAACCUCCUCAUUCAACAUGUUCCCGCCAGCAUCACGAACAAAUACUGAGGGAUGAACAUCUCCCACCAAUGCCCUCUGAGCCACAUGGUUGUUGUCAGCCUCAGGCUCAGACUGAAGGCUUUGUUUCUAAGGUCUGCCAUGUGCAAGAGUUUUCCUUGACUGUGAGAAUCUGGAAAUAGGGAUGUGCAGUCCUUACCUGGCAGCAGCGUGCUUAGCAUCAAGGGAGACAAGUGACAAGGGAACACUUAAAAGGAAGGCGGUGGCCUGUCUUUCCAACUCUUAGAAGGAAAAAUGCUUCAGAUGUGGCAGCUAGAGCCAGAAACAAGGGAUGUUGUGCACUGCAUGUGCAUUAGAUCUGCAUUAAUAGAAAGGGAUUUGGUUUCGGUUUUAUUCUCUAUUGUUAGAAAGAAAAACAUCUUCACCAUGGCAGGUAGAAGAAAGGACACGGUGAAUAACUGAGGUGAGAUCAUUAUGUGACUUCAUGAGGAGUCACAAACUGCCACAAUUGAAGGAAACUAUCAUUUACCACUUGUUAUUUAGCAGACGGGCACAGCUGAAACUCGGCUCCACUGCAAACUUUAUUGUUUCCCUGUCAAAUCCUAAGAGGCUGAGAUACCUCCCAGGAGACCACUAAUCACUACUGGCACUGGGUGUUGCUGGCAGCACGAAGUGAACCUUAAAAGCUUUGGUGGUUCAGAUUAGCAUCAAAGAGGCCAAAUGCUUCCUCUGGGUUCCAGGUCACGCUAAACCUUUAAUAAAAAUCUGAGACUCUAUGAAAGGAAAGAGAGA
rnacentral:lncRNA from 1 species